rnacentral:rRNA from 1 species
UGGUGGGGUAAGGGCCUACCAAGGCUACGAUCCAUAGCUGAUUUGAGAGGAUGAUCAGCCACAUUGGGACUGAGACACGGCCCAAACUCCUACGGGAGGCAGCAGUGAGGAAUAUUGGACAAUGGGGGCAACCCUGAUCCAGCAAUGCCAUGUGUGUGAAGAAGGCCUUAGGGUUGUAAAGCACUUUAGUUGGGGAAGAAAGCUUUGAGGUUAAUAGCCUUGAGGAAAAGGACGUUACCCAAAGAAUAAGCACCGGCUAACUCCGUGCCAGCAGCCGCGGUAAUACGGGGGGUGCAAGCGUUAAUCGGAAUUACUGGGCGUAAAGGGUCUGUAGGUGGUUUGUUAAGUCAGAUGUGAAAGCCUAGGGCUCAACCUUGGAACUGCAUUUGAUACUGGUAAACUAGAGUACGGUAGAGGAAUAGGGAAUUUCUGGUGUAGCGGUGAAAUGCGUAGAGAUCAGAAGGAACACCAAUGGCGAAGGCAACAUUCUGGACCGAUACUGACACUGAGGGACGAAAGCGUGGGGAUCAAACAGGAUUAGAUACCCUGGUAGUCCACGCUGUAAACGAUGAGUACUAGCUGUUGGAGUCGGUGUAAAGGCUCUAGUGGCGCAGCUAACGCGAUAAGUACUCCGCCUGGGGAUUACGGCCGCAAGGCUAAAACUCAAAGGAAUUGACGGGGACCCGCACAAGCGGUGGAGCAUGUGGUUUAAUUCGAUGCAACGC